UCUCCCCUGUAGCGCGAUUCUGUAACUCGUUAUGCUGUCGUUAUGGACUCAUAACGACAAGUUUCGUUAUGCUACCGACCGCGUCGCUAUUAUAACGACAAAUGCGAUUCUGUACACUAUUCUUAGCGAGUUUUGUCGUUAUUAGUAACGAAAAGUGUCGUUAUGAUGUCGUUACGGUGCGAGCGGAUAGCGAGGCUCAGAGACCCCCUCGGUACGCUAUAACGACACUUUGCACACGAGUUAGAGGAGUGGUGUGCGUUUCCCAUAUUUUUCUCGACUCCGAGAAAGUGCUUCGAAAAGUGCUCCGAAAGUAAAAAAUAAUUACGCCGUUUGAAAUAACCAGUAAGAUCAUGGCUAUCGAAUACCUUGCUUGGGAUGUAUUCGUUCUUGAGGAAAGAUUACGUCGACUCGAACGUCGUGUGGAAAGAAGGCGACUGAGAGAUGCUCAGAAUCCGUUUCAGCUACCACGAGAAGAGUUUCUCAGCCUUUUUCGCCUGCCUCAAGAAGCUGUGAUGAAUCUUGGUUAACACCUUAAGCGCAGUCAAAGCGAAAAUAUUUUUCACUGUUCAGCAAAGCAGCAUAGGUGAUGCUGGAUAUCCAUUGGAGCCUUGGCUGUUAACACCUCUGGCCAAUUUUUCUGAAGAUACGCGACAACAUCAAUAUACACAACAACUAUGUAAGGCUAGAAGCGUCGUCGAGCGGUUUUUUGGAGUUUUUAAAUCUGUAUGGAGAUGCUUGUCAUACCAGCGAGUCUUGAUGUACGAACCAGCGUUCGCAGCGAAAAUUGUUAAUGCGUGUGCAGUACUGCACAACA